AGAUUGAACGCUGGCGGCAUGCCUAACACAUGCAAGUCGAACGGGAGUAGCAAUACUCUAGUGGCGGACGGGUGAGGAAUACGUAGGAAUUUGCCCUUAAGUGGGGGAUAACCCGGGGAAACCCGGAUUAAUACCGCAUGACCUCGAAAGAGCAAAGUGGGGGAUCGCAAGACCUCACGCUUUUGGAGAAGCCUACGUCGGAUUAGCUAGUUGGUGAGGUAAUGGCUCACCAAGGCGACGAUCCGUAACUGGUCUGAGAGGAUGAUCAGUCACACCGGAACUGAGACACGGGUCCGGACUCCGUACGGGAGGCAGCAGGUGGGGAAUAGUUGGACGAAGUGGGCGCAAGCCUGAUCCAGCAAGUGCCGCGUGUGUAGAAGACGGUCCGUUCGGGUUGUAAGCUACGUUUAAGGUAGGUAAACGAAAAAC
rnacentral:rRNA from 1 species